UACGUAGGGGGCUAGCGUUGUCCGGAAUCAUUGGGCGUAAAGAGCGUGUAGGCGGCUCGGUAAGUCCGCUGUAAAAGUCAAAGGCUCAACCUUUGAAUGUCAGUGGAUACUGCCGGGCUAGAGUCCGGAAGAGGCGAGUGGAACUCCUGGUGUAGCGGUGGAAUGCGCAGAUAUCAGGAGGAACACCGGUGGCGAAGGCGGGUCUCUGGGCCGAUACUGACGCUGAGGAGCGAAAGCGUGGGGAGCGAACAGG
rnacentral:rRNA from 1 species